GGAGAACCGGCUGACUGUCACCAGCCCAGAAAAUGAAGGGUUUCAACUCGAGGAGCCAAAUAAUCCAUUGACCAAGAACAUCGGUCUUUAAUACCUUGUUACUCAGAGUGCGCUCCAAGAAGAAGCUGCACCAGCAUCACCUGGGAACUUGUUAGAAAUGCAGACUCUCAGGCUCCUCCUCAGACCUCCUGAAUCAAUCUGCUUGUUAUUCAGAUCCUCAGGCAAUUCCUAUUCACUUCAAAGUUUG